GAUCCUUCUACAGUGAAGCUUAUAGAAGCCUUUGCAGCCUGGCAACAGGUAGCCUCGCGACUCUAAAUAAUAGAGCCUUAUGCAAGUCAGAGUACCCCUCUGGCAACACAACCGAAUUGACGGGGACACCUUAAAGCCCGCUCCACCAACCGACCCGGGAAAUCGGGUUGGGGCCUAUGUUAACAGCAUGGGGUAGGUAAGAGAGAGUCGGGAUGUUACAAUAGGCAAUCCGCAGCGAAAAUCCUAAGUGCCCUGCAUACGGAUAACGUUCACAGACUAAGUGGUUGUGGGCACGGUAGAGAUCGUGCUUUAGAUAUAGUCGGGCCCUUAGGGAAACCUAGGGAGUAAUAUCACUACAUGUCCGUUCCGUAGGUGAACCUGCGGAAGGAUCAUUACAGAGUUCAUGCCCUCACGGGUAGAUCUCCCACCCUUGAAUACUAUACCUUUGUUGCUUUGGCGGGACGCUUCGGCUACUGGCUCCGGCUGGUGAGUGCCCGCCAGAGGAUCCUAAAACUCUGAAUAUUAGUGUCGUCUGAGUACUAUAUAAUAGUUAAAACUUUCAACAACGGAUCUCUUGGUUCUGGCAUCGAUGAAGAACGCAGCGAAAUGCGAUAAGUAAUGUGAAUUGCAGAAUUCAGUGAAUCAUCGAAUCUUUGAACGCACAUUGCGCCCCUUGGUAUUCCGAGGGGCAUGCCCGUUCGAGCGUCAUUAUAACCCCUCAAGCCUAGCUUGGUGUUGGGGCCUGCUGUUACCGGCAGCCCUUAAAAUCAGUGGCGGUGCCAUCCGGCUCUAAGCGUAGUAAUACUUCUCGCUACAGGGUCCUGGUGGAUGCUCGCCAUCAACCUCUAAAUUUCUAUGGUUG
rnacentral:rRNA from 1 species